AAGAGUGUGUCAGGGAAUAAGAAGACUCUUGCAGGGUGAGGAGAAAGCCUAGGGAAAUGCUUGAUAGGAAGAAGUCCAGAGAGAUUGCAGCAAGGAGCCUGAUGCAGUGAAUCUUGACUGCUUUUCCUAUGGUCCCUAGACUAGCAUGAUAGCACAGAGUCCUUGAAAAGAGAGUGUGGACAACUGAAAGCCCUGAGAAAAGGAUGUAUGGCCCACUGUGUCUGAGAGUGGGAUGUAGACAGCAGUGAAUAGCAGUUGGAGCAGGAGUUAGUAGCCAGAAUUUGAGUCCAGGAUCAGAGCUGGAUUACCUGGAGUGACACAGAGCUGGGAAUAAUCAGCAGCUAAUGCAACAGUGGGCAAAUGCUUUAAGCACCUGCCAAACAACUGCUGCUGGGCUGCUGACUCUUCAGACAGGGUAACUAAUUAAGCAGCUUUCUAUAGGCUAGCUGUGCUCAUUAGGUUGCCUGAAAAAUGGCUCUGCUACAGGCCCAAAGUCCUCAUGCACUGAGUUCAGAAGUGAAGAUGACAGACCAGAUAGAGAGACUUGUUCUUGCAGGACUCCAUGCCACGCCUGAAGGGGUGGGAGUAAAUGUGACCUGGUGGGAGGUCUGAGUCACAAGAAGAGGCAGAUAGCUGCAGGGCUGGAAGAGGAGAGGCUGCUAUGUCAUGCCCAGCUGCGGGGAAGCCCAGUGGGUGGAGGUGAAAGAGAGGUCAAACUGUGCCCAUUGACCUUUGCCCUCUGACCUCGGUGAACUGAAGGAAAGCCUUUGAAGUAGUGAAGUGCCCACGAAAAAAAGAAAACCAAACAAGUUGCUGGCUUUUCCUUCUUUCCAUGUGAACUGGCAGCUGCUUAAUGGAAGAUGACACUGCUAUGGUGGGCUGGAUGGGGGACCCCAUGCAUUGUUCCCCCCACCCUUACCUCAGCAUGGAGUUAAUUGGCACUGCAAAAAGCCCACCCACUCAAAGAGAGGGGUGGGAGAAUGGAGGAGGCAUAUGAGAAAACAAUCUUCAUCCCCCGUGAGUGUCGCUCACUCUGGUACUCCGUUUCUAUAUCUUCCCCACCUCUCACCCACUCCCCAUGUGCAGGAUCCUCCAAUAAACAUCUCAUUUUUUUAAAUGAGAGAGUCCCCACACACAGGGAGUGGAUGAGAGGUGGGAGAUGGAGAUGGGGAAGAUUUAGGCUUAUGAUAGCUAGAGCUGGAAAAGACCUGCUUAGAUCAAUGAGCCCUUUCCCCUGAAGAAUUGAGAGGACGUGGCAGCUGUUACACGGGUUGCUGCUGUCACAUGCAUGACCCCUUCUGGCAGUUAGGAAAAAGACAGCUUUUUUAUUGAAGACACCCAUCCUUCUCUUAACCUCCCUAUUAUAACAUGCUCUACGGUACAAAGAUCUAGGACUCUGACUCUUAAAGCAUAAUAGACCUUAUCAUUAUUAGAAAUAUAGGCAAAAGGACUUGGCAAAAUACACACCCUUCUCACAAUAUUUUGCCCAUCUCUAGAACUGAACCCAAACCAAAUUUUGUCAUGUUUGAAAUUAUUAUUGAAUAUAUAUUGUGGUAGCCUCAACCUGAGCAUGGCCUCAUUGUGUUAGGUGCUGUACAAACAUUUAAUAAGAGACAGUUAUCUGCAACUUUAAAUCUAUGGGAGGGCUGGGUAACAGUCGCAGAGACUCGUUUUUGCAUAGUUUGUCUAUGUGCAUGUCCAUAGCAUAGCUAUGUGCAAUUUGUAGGUACUGAAGUUAUUUAGUUUGCUUGCUUGUAGGUAGAUUUUGAGGUGAUAGAUAAAUAAUCAUGUUAGUGGCAGUAUUCUCAGCUCCCCUCUUGCCUAGUCCAUAUCAGCUGGUUCCGUAGAAUCAAAGUAGGAAUCUUGUGGCGGGAUUUGAUGGAGACAAUAGUGAGUAUUCCACACCUGUAAGGUGAAGACAUUAGGUGAGUUUUCUACCCCCUCCCUGCCAACAUACUCAACAAACAAUCUGCCUCUCAGGGGAAAGGAAGCAGGGCAAGCCCCAGCAUUACCCCACACUAAUCUUUUUUUUGCUAUCUUCUUACAGGAGGAGGGAGUCUUUGCAGCUAGCUAUGCCUCUCCAGGUUUCUUAGGGGUCAGUGACAAAUGUUUCCCAUCUGAAGUCCAUCUUUGCUGGCGACAAACAGGAGUGCUGGUAAGAGACUGGUCUUUAUUUCCUAGCCUCAGUCAAUUGACAUAAAUCAGGGUAAUGGAUGUUUAAUAUCCCUUGCAUGGGGCCAAUGUCCUUUAACUCCACUAGUGACUGUUACAUUUAAGCAAUAAUGAAAUGCAAAUAAAACAUAAUGUCAACUAAAAA